GAUGAACGCUGGCGGCGUGCCUAAUACAUGCAAGUCGAGCGAACAGACGAGGAGCUUGCUCCUCUGACGUUAGCGGCGGACGGGUGAGUAACACGUGGAUAACCUACCUAUAAGACUGGGAUAACUUCGAGAAACCGGAGCUAAUACCGGAGAAUAUAUUGAACCGCAUGGUUCAAUAGUGAAAGACGGUUUUGCUGUCACUUAUAGAUGGAUCCGCGCCGCAUUAGCUAGUUGGUAAGGUAACGGGUUACCAAGGCAACGAUGCGUAGCCGACCUGAGAGGGUGAUCGCCCACACUGGAACUGGCACACGGUCCAGGCUCCUACGGGAGGCAGCAGUAGGGAAUCUUCCGCAAUGGGCGAAAGCCUGACGGAGCAACGCCGCGUGAGUGAUGAAGGUCUUCCGAUCGUAAAUCUCUGUUAUUAGGGAAGAACAAAUGUGUAAGUAACUAUGCACGUCUUGACGGUACCUAAUCAGAAAGCCACGGCUAACUACGUG
rnacentral:rRNA from 1 species